AUGUAAUCAACCGAGGCAUGGGAAAGUUUCCUAGCAACAGCAAAAAGAACAUGAGAAAGUUUCCUUAUAAUGUUAGUAACAGAACAAAAUGGCCGGCUAGACAGGUAACAGUUACCUAGGCCUUAACACUUCCUUUGCCUCUGCACCAGGACUAAAAAUGGACAAAAGAAAACAGGAGCAAGGAUCAUGAACUUCCAUUGUUCUGGGCAACAGUAAAGACCACAGGCAUCCACUUGGUCCCUGGCAUCAGCAUGUUCCACUGACCUCUGCGUGGUCUCCUAUGGCAGUACAGGCAACAGACAUCAACAGGGCCCUCUGCCACUGCACAGCCCAGACACCAUCAUAACCCUCAGUGGCAGCAUAUACCACAGACAUCAACAUGACUUCAGGCUGCACCAGACUACAGACAUUCACAUGGCCCUUGGUGGUAACAUGGGCCAUGGACAUCACCUCACACUCCACCAGUAAGACAUGGAAGAGCCCCUGGAGGAAGCAUGACCCACAAAUAUCAGGAUGGCCUCAGGUGGUGACCAAGACCAAGAAUAUUCAUAUAGCCUUUGAUGGUAACUCAGGCCAGAGACAUCAUGGCCCUGGCUGCUGUAAGACCAUGAGCACUAACCUCCAGCUUUAACACAGCCUGGAAGAGAGGAUCAUGGAUACCAAAGUGGACCCCAGGGACAGCAUUGGCCGUAGCAGUCUUUCCAGGAGGUUCAAUCAAGAAAAUGAAUAAUUAUUAAUCUUGGAAUCCUGUAGUUGGGCAAACGGGUGUCUGGGCAGCAUUUUCCAAGGCUGAGUGUGAUUCUGCUUUGUUGAAGACUUGUUCAUGAGAGCUCAUGGGAAGAUACUUUUAUGUAGCAAAUGGGGGCUGAAAACCAGAACUGUAUUCUAAGGAAGGUAUAAGCUCCAUUUUAAAAAGGGGGAUCCUUCCACUCUACCAAACUGGACUGCUGGUGUAUCCAUGAAUUGUUGGCAAGUGGAUCGAGCCGAGAUGCUGCUGCUAACUUGUGAAGGGAACUGCCGAUUUCCAGACGACACAGGAGUUGCUCCCAAGAGCCCUCUAAACAGGUCCACUUCCUCAGUGUCCUUUCUUUCCCACUAUCUCUGGUGGGUAGUGGCUAAAAGGGAGGUUAAAGUGUUUAAGAGCCAUCAUUAAAAACAGGUUUGAAAAAAAUUAAAGUUACAGAUUGUAGAUGUGAGCCACCACAUCUACCUCACAGCCCACUUCCCACAGGGAUUUUGUUCUCUAUGGUACAAUAGCUCAAGUGGCUCUGGAACUCACCCUGCUGUUCAACAUGACCCCAAACUCACGGCCAUCCUCCUGCCUCAGCCUCCUGGAUGCUAGGAUUCUAGGCAUGAGCCUCCAUGCCUAGCCCCCCAAUACUUUAAAAUGUUUCCAUUUUUGACUGCUAGUAUCUUUUUUACAAACAUGAGCAAGGCUUCCUGCCACGCUCAGAACAAUCCUACUCAGACCUGCUCUGUGCAGGGCCUCAGCGUUUACUUAGAAGUCAGAAAUAAAAACAAGAGAAAAUUCUCGAGAGUGGGUGAAUUUUAUUGUCUCUCAAAGAUCCAAGGUAAGAAGAGUACCUUGGCGACACCUGUUGGAGUUCUUGAAUUGAUGGGACUGUGCCAUAUUCCUAAUCACCUCGGGGUUGAAUUACAAUUAAUGUCCUACUCACCAACAAGCCAGAUCGAUACUGCAGAAAUGGUUCCAAGCCUUAAAUCUGUCUCCUUGUGUUUUGCGCCAGCGUGUAGAGGUUACUGCAUUUUUUCCUUUCUUCUUAAUCUUUUUAUUCCCACUGAAGCACAUUACUCAUGCAACCCCCUUGAAAGUCCUCAAAUUAUUCAGCACACAGCACAGAUACUCUUGUCAACUUAUCUACAGGAUCGAUUGCGGUUAAUACUGUCCAGUCUCUAUAAUAAAACUGUCAUUGCAGCUACUGUUCAUCCUGUCAGCUUUCCAGAGGUUUCUAUCUGCGUGGAAUUCUGCAAUUUGUUUUCUUUCUAGAAUUCAUGAGCCCACUGAACUUCUCUUACGCUAUAUAAAACAUCUUAAAAGUAAAGCAAAUACCUGGAAAGCACCAAGCCCAGACACUAUGACUGAUGCUAUGUUGUGUUUGCAGACAGGAGCCUAGCAUGGCUGUCCUCUGAGAGGCUCUACCAACUGCUGACUGAGACAGAGGCAGAUACUUACAUCCAACCAUUGGUCUGAGGUCAGGGACUCCUGUGGAAGAGUUAAGGGAAGAAUUGAAGGAAUCUGAAGGGGACUGCAGCCCCAUAGGAAGAACAAUAGUAUCAACUAACCCAUACCCCUCAGACCUCCCAGGGACUAAGACACCAACCACGGGCUGGUUCCAGAUCCCUUGCCAAUGUGCAGCAGAGAACUGCCUUCUCUGGCCUCAGUGCGAAAGGAUGCCCCUAAUCCUGUAGAGACUUGAUGCUCCAGGAAAGAGGGAUGCAGGGGGAAGCACCCUCACAGAGGCUACGGGGACAAGGAAUGGGUCCCUCCCUCUGGGAUGGGGGAGAGCGAUGGGGACAACAUUUGGGAUACAUAAAUACAAUAAUUAUAAAAUAAAAAAAUAAAAAGACCCAGAAA